CCAACAAAUGCUCCUUUACUGCAGCUGUAUGUAUAACAAGCAGCAUAACCGCCAUCGCCAGCUCUCAGAUCAGCUUCAACUGCCCGUCCAACAACACCAACUGCUGCACUUAAACCAGCACCCAAUGAAACAUGUGCAUUGCCGCAAAAUGUCUUGACAGCAUCAUUUGUUCUCAACACAAUUAUGAAAUCUGUCAAUUCACCUCCAGCCUGAGCUCCCCAACCCAUGCCGAAUGAAGAUAUGGCAGAAGGUGGAGACCAUGAACCAUCUUCUCUGCAAGCAAUUACAAGCCCAGUUCCAACAUUAUAAGUUACCAUCAUCCCAACUUUGACAACUGUGAUUAUUGCAAGGCCUUUUGCAUGUCGUAGAAUGGCAUCUGGAAUUGAUUU
rnacentral:misc_RNA from 1 species